UGAGGAGCUUGCUUCUCUGAUCAGUGGCGAACGGGUGAGUAACACGUGAGCAAUCUGCCCUUGACUCUGGGAUAAGCGUUGGAAACGACGUCUAAUACCGGAUACGACCUUUGGAGGCAUCUCUGGGGGUGGAAAGAAUUUUGGUCAAGGAUGAGCUCGCGGCCUAUCAGCUAGUUGGUGAGGUAAUGGCUCACCAAGGCGACGACGGGUAGCCGGCCUGAGAGGGUGACCGGCCACACUGGGACUGAGACACGGCCCAGACUCCUACGGGAGGCAGCAGUGGGGAAUAUUGCACAAUGGGCGAAAGCCUGAUGCAGCAACGCCGCGUGAGGGACGACGGCCUUCGGGUUGUAAACCUCUUUUAGUAGGGAAGAAGCGAUGUGCUUGCCACAAAGUGACGGUACCUGCAGAAAAAGCACCGGCUAACUACGUGCCAGCAGCCGCGGUAAUACGUAGGGUGCAAGCGUUGUCCGGAAUUAUUGGGCGUAAAGAGCUCGUAGGCGGUUUGUCGCGUCUGCUGUGAAAACCCGAGGCUCAACCUCGGGCCUGCAGUGGGUACGGGCAGACUAGAGUGCGGUAGGGGAGAUUGGAAUUCCUGGUGUAGCGGUGGAAUGCGCAGAUAUCAGGAGGAACACCAAUGGCGAAGGCAGAUCUCUGGGCCGUAACUGACGCUGAGGAGCGAAAGCAUGGGGAGCGAACAGGAUUAGAUACCCUGGUAGUCCAUGCCGUAAACGUUGGGAACUAGAUGUGGGGACCAUUCCACGGUCUCCGUGUCGCAGCUAACGCAUUAAGUUCCCCGCCUGGGGAGUACGG
rnacentral:rRNA from 1 species